ACUCACUGAUUAUGUAGUAAAACUCCAGAUAAGGGAAGUGGUUGAGGUAUCUUGGAGGAAGCCAAGUGAUGCUUGUUGAUGAGACAGUCUGCCAUGCUAGGAUUAAAUGAGAGAUGCUGCCUGGAUUGUAUUUUCUUUUGGAACUUGUCAAGACCAUAUGGUUCCCAAAUCCCCUUGAGGCCUAAGCAUGCUACAAGCUCAGGACUGAAAAAGAGUUGUGAGGAAAGCACUUCACGAUAUCUUCCUUCUUUCCAUCUAUUAUUUAUCAUUUCAAGGACACCAACAAGUUACUUCUCUUCUCUGUGAUGGUCAAUGCAUGUAUCAGUGAUCAACUACCAGAGAUGACCAAACCUGAGUGGAUCUGCACCAUAUUAAAAUAUAAUUCUGAAAUACUUGACAAAUUAAAUAAAAAUAUACUACAACACAAAUAA